CUGUGGGCCAUUUCAAAACUGAGCUCUUAAUGAUUCCACACCUAAUUUAUUUUGAGCAGGAAUGAAAUGCCUUGAAUUAUGAAAAUAAUUUCCUUUUACUUUUGGGGACCAUGUUUCAGAGUUCAGUCACUAAAUACAGUAGGUAAAUAAAGAUGCUCAGGAAGUUUAUGUACUAAAAUAUAGAAAUGUACCUGUGUUCUUGGCUGGCCAAAAAUUGAGUUAUAGCUUGCAGUAGCAAUAUUUUGAGAAAAGAAAGGACUAAGAUGUUUAUUCUUUAGUGUGAUAGCUGGUGAGAUGUAUAAAUAGAUGUUUCAGUGGGCAUUCAGGCACACCAAUUUGUUUUUCGGCUCAUCCGUUAUGGAGAGCUUCAGGAAAUCUGCUGGUAUGCUUACGUUGAUAGACUUUUCUGUGAAGUGUUCCAUAUGUUUUCAGCAUUCCAGUGACUUCAGACAGUGUAAGCAUGUUCAAGCACACCUGGAGGGGGGGCCGGGUUGGCCUUGGCUCCACUGGAAACACAGUGUCAUUGUCUCAACAAGAUGCUAUGAUGCCAGCAAAAGAUCAGUACCUUGACGAGGAGCUGCUGGCUCAAAACCACGGUAAUAUUUGAUUGUUGGAACACUUUCCAAAGCAGUUCCCAUGGUGUGAAAUUCUAGCAACCUGAUUUGUCUCUCUGCUGAGCAAUUGAGUUGAUUCAUCUGUAACAACGUCUGCCAGCCUCAGAUAACAAGAAAAAUUGCACCGUCUA
ensembl:lncRNA